CAAAAUAGCCUGGCAAAUGUUAGGCAUCAAAUCACCUGAACGGAGAAACUGAGCAAAAUAGUAAGUAACACGACCAGUAUAAUAAUACAAAUGCAGUGAAAUCCGUACACAAUAUAGCAACAAUCGUGCACUACUAAAUUUACCAAGUGACUACACGACAAAACAACAACACGAAAAAAAAAACAAAAAACCUGCAAGUCAAAACACAGGGAUCCACUUGUAUGACGUAGUUGUCAGCAAGAGCUGGCGCAGGCGGGAGCGGAAGAGAAGAGCGGAUCAGUCGGCUGCGUAGGCGAUCGCUGGUCCGCGAUGUUACGGGCCUAAUGGCACCAAGUCUGAACGGUGGUCUUCUGCGUUGUGUCAGUUUGAAGAAUGGUGUGACACUGGGACCUUUUUUGGAGAUGAUCUCCUUCUGACAGACUAAACAACAGCAGAACCUCUGUAUAAAUUUGACUGUCCACUCGAGCGCCUCUCCCACAGGAAGAUUGUACAAAAGGGCAGAGGCGGGGCCGCAGAAAACAUUUAUAGUGGGGAGCACAGAAGAAGAAAUUACAGGAGGAGGAGCACCUAGCUACAUACACAGUUACACUGGACCGGGAGGCAUUUUCUUGUCAGGCAGUAACAGAUUUUGUGCUGAGUGCUGCUGCAAACUCCUGCGAGCCGGACACCAUGUGGGAGAUUGGGCUUAUCCUGCCAGCAAGCCCUCCGGUGCUGGAGUGGGCCGCGUCAGUGUGGUGCUGCGGGCCCUCGUUAGCAUUAUUGACAGGUGGUGCAUGAAGCCAGUUGUCCUUGUGAGGACCCUGAAGGCAACUUUUCAAACUAAACUUAAAGUCCACAGAGUCAAUGAACACUUUUUUGCUCCACUGUAAUAACCUGCAAAGUUGUUACAGAUGGAAGGAUGCAGUUUUAAAAUUAAAGGGAAAACUAACUUGUCAAAAUUGUCAUCGCAGCGCAUAUACUGUACUUUUCAAUAGACUGCUUUUUAAUGUGCCUGUCUACCAGGGGGGUUUCAUAGACCCAUCUUGUUUUUCUUUCUCUUGUGGUGAAAGAGGUCAAUGCAACACACAAUAGCAUCUCCAAAUUCGGUGCACUUUUUUUAUUCCCAAAAAUAUUGUUUUAUUCCUUUCCGGGUGCAAUAUGGGGACUCCUGUUUUAAAGGACAGCGACUAGUGACAAUUUUCACCAUCGAUGUACUGUAUACCCUCCACAGUCAUGAGGUUGGUUUUCUCUGAUGUAUGAGGAGCAUGAUAUUGCCUUGAGAAAACUUGUGAAUUGAUGCUAUUUUAAUACAAUUAACUUUUUAUUGUCUUUACUGAAGGAGAAAUCACUCAAUCAUUGAAAUCACUCUUCUUUGGGGCGGCGGCUCUGUCUCAUGCAAAUGAGCAACUGCUCCUACUGCCUAUGGAUUUGGUUACUGUGAGGGUUGCAAAUUACACUUGUCAAUUACCCUUACUUGUUAGCUGUAAAGAAGUGAUAAGCACUACUCAAAGGUGAUGCAUUACAUGUACUUUAUUUAUUGCUAUUGCAACUUCCUCAAGCUGCUUCAACAUGUGUUUUGCAUUUUUUAGGCACACAACUGACUCUCUAAUGCCUCUUGAGUAACUAUGUGGCAUGGCGAGAGAUAUUAGAUUUUUCACCUUAAAAACAUCCAUCCAUUCAUCCAUUUUCUUUACCGCUUAUCAUCACUAGGGUCGUGGGCUGCUGGAGCUCAUAGCACAAACGAUAAAUCCCAGACAAGUGUAGCCCAUCUGACUGACAAUCCAUAUGUUUGCACUCGGGGAGGGCUUGCAUCUGUCAUCAUGUCCAGGUGAAAACAAGAAAAAAAAAAAAAGAGACAGAAGCAUCCUGGCAUGCGAUUUCCAUGUUGGCCUGUGCUCAAAUCCAGAUCCUCAAGGUGGGGGGCUGAGAUUUACUGUCCAAAUACACAUCCAGAUGUUUACUGGCUCUUUUCUUUUGGCAGGUAACCUCGAACAGAUUCUACCUCCUUAGUGCUGACGCAUGGCUGCUGACAUGGUGACAGAUGGCCUGCUGGAUGCCCUCCACACACGGUGGCGUCUAAGGAUGGAAGGGGUUCAAUUUAAGGGUGUUGUCGUGCCAAGCUGUCUGUGAUGAGCAGUGACAGAAAUGUGUUGAGAGUUGCAACCUGUAGAGACCUCAGAGUUCAGCUGCAUCAGCUAUCCUGUGCCAGUCGACAUCACUUCAGAAACAGAAAGUUGAAGAGCCAGCUUCUGUAGCCAGGGAUCGGAUCGCCAAGGUUCUCUCCUUCGGCCACCGCCCAGCUCGCGCUGCACCCGACCCCUAUGGCCCCUCCCACAGGUGGUCUUCAGGUCGGGGAUGAGAUCCUGCCCCAAGUGGAGGAGUUCAAGUAUCUUGGGGUCUUGUUCACGAGUGAGGGAAGAAUUGAAUGGGAGAUCGACAGGCGGAUCGGUGCAGUGAUGCGGACUUUGUAUCGGUCCGUUGUGGUGAAGAAGGAGCUAAGCCGAAAGGCGAAGCUCUCGAUUCACCGGUCGAUCUACGUUCCUACCCUCACCUAUGGUCACGAGCUGUGGGUCGUGACUGAAAGAACAAGAUCCAGGAUACAAGCGGCCGAAAUGAGUUUCCUCCGCAGGGUGUCCGGGCUCUCCCUUAGAGAUAGGGUGAGAAGCUCGGUCAUCCGAGAGGAUCUCAGAGUAGAGCCGCUGCUCCUUCACAUCGAGAGGAGCCAGAUGAGGUGGCUUGGGCAUCUGAUUCGGAUGCCUCCCGUCGCCUCCCUGGUGAGGUGUUCCGGGCACGUCCCACCGGGAGGAGACCACGGUGAUGACCCAGGACACACUGGAGAGACUACAUCCUUCGGCUGGCCUGGGAACCCCUCGGGAUCCCCCCGGAAGAGCUGGAUGAAGUGGCUGGGGAGAGGGAAGUCAGGCGUUCCUGCUAAAGCUACUGCCCCCGUGACCUGACCUCGGAUAAGUGGUAGAAAAUGGAUGGAAGGAUGGAUUUAUUAUUGUACAAUUAUUAUUUUAAUUAUAAUCUUUCAUGUUUUAUGUACAGCACUUGUCUACAGCUGUGGUUUUUGUCAAAAUGCUAUAUAAAAAAGUUGAGUUGAGUCUUAGCUAAAUUAUUGCAUGACAUUCCAAUUAUGAAAGGCAUUUUUUUUUCUAAAAAAAGAAAGCAAAAAUAAACAUGGGGGUGUCACGAUUCAUUCUGGCAGGGAUUCGAUUCGUGUUUGGUAAUUCGAUUCAAGGACGGUAUUGGUUCAUCUUGAACGAUACCAUCUGAAACGAUUCAGUGUUUGGAAAUAGAUUCAGUCACAUUUUAGCCAAAAAUUCAACCAGUGCGACUGUGAAAUAAAUAGCUGGAUACUGGACAGUGCAGGUGAAAUUUCCUAAAUUCCUUUUGUUUCAUGUAAAGGUAUCAGGUAAAAUUAAUUAUGUAAAAAGCAAACAAACAAUAACCAACUAUUAUGACAAGUAAUAAUAAUGGCAAAUGUUUGAAUAAAGUGCAACGAACAUCUCUUCAGGUUGGAUUAACAGUAGUUUUACCUGCUACUUCUGAUGUUUUUUUUCAACAUAGAAAUAAUAACUAAUUAAUUGAACGCAAAAAAAAUGUAAUGCUCAAAAGUUCUAAUUUUAUAGUAUUUAUUACUAUCCACUCACUAGUCACGGUGUGUGAAGUAGUGGUUACAUAGCUCUGAGAAACUUGUGAUGUCCAAGUUACCAUCUGUCAUGAGUGAAACACUGUACAGUAGUGGUUCUCAAAGUGUGGUACAAGUACCAGUAGUGGUACGUGGGCUCACUCUAGUGGCAUGUAAGUAUCACUGAACCAGUGUCUUGAACUUUAAGAACCUUUUUUUUUUUUUUUUUUUUUUUUAACCUGUUCAGCUGCAUGGCCAUAAAUAAUGGUGAAUCUGUAUGCCUUUUGUGCUGGAACAGGGGGAGUUUGAAAUACUUCCUCUGCUUGUUUUUGUAUUUUUUUUAAUCAUUCUUUUAUGUAUUUAAAAUUCAGCUGGACAGAAAAGAGUUUUUAGGGACAGACCGAGGGACAGAAUGGACAAGGGGAAGAGGGGUGCGAACAACAUCAGAACAAUAGUUAGGCAGUCUAGAUAUUUGACUACAAGUACUGUUACAAAGUCAAAGUGUGUUCUUAUUUGUGGACGGAGGGGGGGUGGACACCCGGUGAAGACAUCCAACAACUAACCAAUAGGACAAGAUGAGAGAGGACAGAAAAGGGCAGGGUAGGAUGGGACACCUGCCUGAGUGUGCUCCCCAACCCGACACUGCCCUCCCCCCACUGACUGGUGUAUUAUGCAUUAAAACUGGAGGACCGGCAUGGCAGAGAAGGUGGGCCACCAGACCGGAGACCAGCACAGAUGUGCCAGUACUCGGCCCGGUUUCCGCCUCAUCAUGUCAUUGCCAGCCUCCCAACGGACCCUGAAUGAGAUGUGAAUGGCCCAAUGAGCGAAAUAUGUACAGUGUGAGUAAUAAAAAUGUGCAGAGUGUGUGAAGUAAGAGGCUAGACUGUUUUGGUUCCGGGCCAGGCCCCACCGACUGGAAGACCCCAGAGAAAAGGGGGGCAGCCCCUCCCCAUCCCACAGCUAAUCCUCUUUAUAGUACAGUGUUAAUGUUCAAACUGCAUGAUUUUACAGUGGCUUACAAUAAUAAAUGAUGUGCUGUAGAUAGUAAAUACUUUUUAGCGAUAAAAUCUGUUUUUGAACACUUUUGCCUACUGCACUACUGUAUUUUAUUGUUGGUCAUGACGGUGGUACUUGGAAUGCGAAGUAUUUUCUGAGGUGGUACCUGGUGUAAAAAGUUUGAGAACCGAUGCUCUCUUUCACUACUUUGGUCUUUGCCUCUUAGUGAAGUAUUGGUGUGAGUGUUUUGUUUAAGUAGCUACAGUAUGUCCGCGAUGGAAUUUUGUAUCGUGGCUCGUUAAGCGUCUUCACCAACUUUCUUGCUCUCGAGUAUCCUAUCAUGAAGAAAACCUGGUUGAAAUGGUCACAAAUUGGUGUUUGACCUCGCUUGCUUCUUGGUUCUGGGUGACUGCGGCUUUUCAUAUUAAAUUCCACGACGUGUCAAUGGCGGUGGUCAGCAUACAGGUGUUGCAUGUCCCUCAUGUUUUCUCCUUGAUGAUUUUUUAUUACUGCAAAACCAAAAUGUGUCCAUACUUCUGAGUUAAGCUUCACAGGACGUUUCCCAUCGUCUUCAACAAACAAGAACAGUCCAUUUGCCUUGAUUCAACCUUUGCAGAUUCCACUCGUUAAGUUGCAAAAUAUGACGUUGCUACCGUCAUAUUUUCUGCACUGCGCAGGGGAUCAUGGGAGAUGUGGUUUGCUUCUCAGACUGGCCCACUCAAUAGCGGCAGAAAAAAAACAACACUGUUUGAUACUCCCAUGAUCGAUCCCCUGCGACGUCACGGACAGGAAAUCUUCUUCUUUUCCUUUCUGCUUCUCCCGUUAGGGGUCGCCAUAGCACGUCACCCGUUUCCGUGUAGGCCUAUCUCCUGCAUCCUCCUCUCGAACACCAACUGGUGUCAUGUUUUUUCCUCACUACAUCUAUCAAUCCUGCUAUUGUCUGGUGACCAGUUCAGGGUUCAGCAGGCCCGCGACCCUUGUGAGGAUAAGCGGAACUGAAAAUGAAUGAAUGAAUACAUCUAUCAACCUUCUCUUUGGUCUUCCUCAAGCUCUCUCUCCUGGCAGCUCCAUCCUCAUCCCCCUUCUACCGAUAUACUCACUCUCGCUCCACGGGAUGUGUCCAAACCAUCAAAGUCUGCUCUCUCUAACUUUGUCUCCAAAGCAUCUAACCUUGGCUGUCGCUCUAAUGAGCUCAUUUCUUAUCCUGUGCAACCUGGUCACUCGUAGAGAGAACCUCAAAAUCUUCAUUUCCGCCACCUCCAGCUCUGCUUCCUGUUGUCUUCUCAGUGGUGCAGUCUCUAAUCCGUACAUCAUAGCUGCCCUGACCACUGUCUUAUAAACGUUUCCCUUCAUCCUAACAGAGACUCUUCUCUUACACCUGCCACCUUCCUCCACCCGUUCCAACCUGCUUUGACUCGUUUUCUUCAGAUUUAUAAUCACAGUAACAGUGUUACAUUGGUAGAUGUAAACACUCGUGCAAAUGUUAGAAUACAACGCAUGUAUUUUUCUAAAUGACACAAGUAUUUAUACAAUUUAUUUCAUACACUGAAUUAUUGCUCACUAAGCUUUAGGUGUAAAUACACUAUUAAUGUCCUGUGAAAAAAACAUUGUAUUAUCACUCCUACUGUAUACGUUGUAACUGAGCAAUUUUGUAUAACUUGACCUACAUCUUGCUUAAACCAAGUAAUGACUUGACUCGACAUGCUUUAAAUUUAGUCAGGACUCGACUUGCUUGAUUUUUGCCAAAGUAACUUUCUUGAGACUUGAAGAUUAAUAAGACUUACUUGCAACUCACACAUUCUGAUUUACUACCACCUCUUAAAAUAUCCCCCCACUUUUAUUUUGCACUCUGUCUGUUAAAUUAAAAACAAAAAAAAACCACUUAUCAGUCAAUAAUUUAUUCAGUAUAUUUCUCUAGCUUUGCGACAUGGAGUGUUCGCUAUUAUAGAUCAUUUGUGGAGAUUAAACCUACUCAGUCUGUCUACACAGACCCAUUCCACACUACUAAUGUGCUUAUCUAAAAAAAGAAUGCAUUGUAUAUAAAACAUGCAUAGUAGACAACUUGUAUUUAUUAGGUUGUACAUUUUAUAUUAUAAUUAUUUAACAUUUUAUUUUUUUUUAUUGCACGGCAUUAUUUUAUAAAUCAAAGACAAUGUUAAAAACAAUGCUGUUCAAAUUUUUUUGUAAGCACAUGUAAAUAGCAAAUGAAGGGGGACGCCAAAUAAAAUCUCGCCUAGGGCGCUA